ACCACGUCAAAUCACAAAUGCCUUACUAAAUUCAGCACCAUUCACCCAUAUGAUAAAGUAUCAGAAAAUUUACCUCAACCUAAGGAGUAAGGCUGUUGGUUGCUGUGAUUUCCAUUUUUGUGGUUUUUUAUCAUGAAAAUCUUCAGUAUGCUUCUUAGUAUAGAGCACGUAAUAGAUCCUUAAGCCAAUGCUGACCUUUGUCCAUGAAGGAAGAGGGACAUCCAGCAACGUUCUGCUCCAUCCUUAUCUUCCCGACGUACGCUCAUCUAGCUUCACUGCUUUUGCUGCUACAAUUUGUUUUACUUCACCGGCGAGUUGGAACACUGUAGUAGUCGCUACCCUUUGCUGUUACACACCUGCAGUUACCUACCACGGGAUUAUGCCCAGGUAAUGCAGAAGAGACGUCGAGAAGAUGGACAUCAAAACAUCGCCGGUAUAUCCAAAACGUCAGCGUGGAUCAUCAUUUGUUGUUGGUAAUAUGUUUGUGUUUGUGUAAGUUAACCCGUUGUCUGCCACGCCUUUGUUCUCCCCUAGCUCCUUUGCACGGGCUGCGUGCGCUGUUCGGUCUCGUGGUUUUCAUGCCGCGGGAUCGGAAAGUCGUACCAGCCCAAAACUUGCCGCAAGGCGCCUGUUAAGGCAAUGCACUAUAGGGACUUCCCCCUUGUCGAUGCGGUGAUGGAUUCUCCUGUCACCGUGUCAGCCCGGACUUGUCAGCAAUGGCAAGUCCCACUUUGGUCACG